CGGCCAGCAUCUACGAGCAGCUGCCGGAGGUGCGAAAGAGACGGGAAGAAGCCCAGAGAAGGACGGAAUAUUCCACCAACCGCUUGAAGGCCCAGCUGUACAAAACGAAAAUCACCAACCGUGUCUUGGGAAGGAAAGUGCCCUGGGAAUGAUGUGGGCGGGAAAAAAAACAAAAAACCAGAAGCCGAGCGAAGGACGACGUCCCUGUUUAAUAAACCUUACCGCACCAAGUAGGGGGUUUUAACCUCUCUUUUUUAAAAAACAUUUUUUUUAAAAAAAAAAAACACGAACUUGUGCCUACGCCGUAGACUCCUUGGGCGGUUUUGCCCCUGACGCCUCUUAGAUUUCCUGACCUUCAACUGGAGUUCAGGGGUGCCCUCCCCAGUUCCCCCCCCUUCAAUCAUGCUACAACCCCUCCCGUUUUCAAGCCAACGUAUUGAAGAGUUUUUAAAAAGAAAAAUCAAGGAACCAGGAAUUUUUUUUUUCUGCCUUUUUCCAUAUUCUGCCUACGUUCCCUAUGCGGAUCAAGGCUUUGUCGGACUAAUGGAUCAACAGCGCAUUAAAUGGGCGGUUGUGUGUGUGUGUGUGUGUGUGUGUGUGUGUGAAAGCAGCUUGGGUUAUUUAUAUAUAGAACAAUAUUUGUAUUUCAGGUGCUUUGUAUCACUGAUGAUUUUGGAGGAUUACUCUGGAUUUUUUUUUUAAUGUCUCCGUGGUGGGGGGAAAAAAAAUUAAAAUGUCUUACAAUA